GGGCUUUCAACCGGGAUAGCAACGCACUAUAUUGGAAAUGUUCGGGCAACCGGACUAUGGGGAUAAACGCCCACGUAAUAAGCGAACUGGACCCGGGUGCGAUUCCCGGCGGCUCCACCAUCACACCCGGCUUAGGGUAUAUGGGGCCGAUCAGCAUCGACAGGCGUGUAAAGGUGAAGCUUUCCCUCGGCAUGGGCUCCCGCGAUCGGCCCAUUUUUUAAAUGCGAACGAUAACUUCGCUUCGGAACAAGCCCUCGCCGCGUAAUGCGGUUAGGCAGUUCCAACUAAACUCCUAGGGACUAAGCCCUCUAGGCGGGGCCCGGCAGGCGCCUUGCAACAGAAGCCUGCCACU
rnacentral:tmRNA from 1 species